rnacentral:tRNA from 1 species
GCAUGAGUGCCAGAUGCGUUAUGGGUUAGCUUUAGGAGUUAGUUAAGGGUUGACCCCCCUCAUGUA